rnacentral:rRNA from 1 species
GACGUAGGGUGCGAGCGUUGUCCGGAUUUAUUGGGCGUAAAGAGCUCGUAGGCGGCUUGUCACGUCGGGUGUGAAAACUCGGGGCUCAACCCCGAGCCUGCACUCGAUACGGGCUAGCUAGAGUGUUGCAGGGGAGACUGGAAUUCCUGGUGUAGCGGUGAAAUGCGCAGAUAUCAGGAGGAACACCGGUGGCGAAGGCGGGUCUCUGGGCAACUACUGACGCUGAGGAGCGAAAGCGUGGGGAGCGAACAGG